CACAUGUGCAUACAAUGUGGGGCGGAUGGUGCUGCGAUAAAGUCGCGGGCUUCGCUGUCAUGUCCCCCCCCCUCCCCCCUCCUCCUUUCGUUGCUCUUCCCCACGGGCAAAGCGAUGCCCGGGGACUCGCCAAGAGCUCUGCAUCCACCGGCGCCCUCUACAGCCUCUGGUCAAGCGUCGCGGUUGCCCUGUGUAGCCUUCUGCUGCUUUGUGUGGUAGGCAUGUGUGUAAGGCGUUGCUGCCGUCGUGGGCGUCGCAAAGGGCGCGCGUUGACGACGACGACGGCAACGCUGCAGCGAUGGAAGCGCUUUCCUCGAGUAGAACUCUGGCGCCGUCCCACCAAAAAGAAGGAAAUGGAGACAAGCACGCCUCCAAAUCGGUUGCAGGUAACGCAGCUACCUCUCCCCCUAGCUUCACAGCGGGGGGGGAUGUUCACCUGCAUGGAUGGCGUCGCAGCAAAGCAGUGCUCUACAGCGUCCUCUCCAUCUGUCUGGGAUCACUGUAAAAGCCGUGUGACCGACGUGACUCAUGAGUGCGCCCCGCUUCUCAACGGGAGGCGCACGUAUGGUACAGCCACAAGAUCUUGAAAUGCCGAUAGUCAUCGAGGCUAGCCUGCCGCGCCGCCACCCUCGAUGCGCUACAAGUCCUUUGAGUCCGAAAAAGGGACGGCAGAUGGACUGGAGGAGUAACACGCUGCUAUUGCAGACGACACGAGUCAUUGGGGGGGGGGGUCAGCGCUAUCCCACCUCCGAGUUCUGUCAGCAACACCUCGCUCUCCCUUUCGUUCUCCCCUCAAACGAGCACCUCGUCAG
rnacentral:misc_RNA from 1 species